AGAGUUUGAUCCUGGCUCAGGACGAACGCUGGCGGCGUGCCUAAUACAUGCAAGUGGGACGCAAGGGAACACACUGUGCUUGCACACCGUGUUUUCUUGAGUCGCGAACGGGUGAGUAACGCGUAGGUAACCUGCCUAUUAGCGGGGGAUAACUAUUGGAAACGAUAGCUAAUACCGCAUAAUAUUAAUUAUUGCAUGAUAAUUGAUUGAAAGAUGCAAGCGCAUCACUAGUAGAUGGACCUGCGUUGUAUUAGCUAGUUGGUAAGGUAAGAGCUUACCAAGGCGACGAUACAUAGCCGACCUGAGAGGGUGAUCGGCCACACUGGGACUGAGACACGGCCCAGACUCCUACGGGAGGCAGCAGUAGGGAAUCUUCGGCAAUGGACGAAAGUCUGACCGAGCAACGCCGCGUGAGUGAAGAAGGUUUUCGGAUCGUAAAGCUCUGUUGUAAGUCAAGAACGUGUGUGAGAGUGGAAAGUUCACACAGUGACGGUAGCUUACCAGAAAGGGACGGCUAACUACGUGCCAGCAGCCGCGGUAAUACGUAGGUCCCGAGCGUUGUCCGGAUUUAUUGGGCGUAAAGGGAGCGCAGGCGGUCAGGAAAGUCUGGAGUAAAAGGCUAUGGCUCAACCAUAGUGUGCUCUGGAAACUGUCUGACUUGAGUGCAGAAGGGGAGAGUGGAAUUCCAUGUGUAGCGGUGAAAUGCGUAGAUAUAUGGAGGAACACCAGUGGCGAAAGCGGCUCUCUGGUCUGUCACUGACGCUGUGGCUCGAAAGCGUGGGUAGCGAACAGGAUUAGAUACCCUGGUAG
rnacentral:rRNA from 1 species